UCUAAUAUGAAAUGUAUUGUUGCUGUCACUUUGAUUUUGCUCUUUCCUUGUGUGUUAUGUCAUAUGCCGACAUUGUAUGAAUUUUGUUCACACGUGGUGGCAAACGGCAAUGCGAGUCUCGCCAGAUGUGAUUCGAGUCAGUGUCAAGGAAGGCCAGGAAUAAAAGGAGAACCGGGGGAAACCUGGAACAGCGGAACAUUUAGAAGUACGGGUGAAGAAGUUGGAAGAUUCUUUCUUGAUGAAUAAAAGACUAAUGGCGAUGACAAAUCCUGAAAUUUGCUACAUGGGUGUCAAGUAUGGUCACAUCAAUUCCUGACUCACGAAUCACAGCUUCAUCAGUUUACGAUCACAAUAUCUAGCUUAUUAUGGGAGAGUGGACAAUCUGGAUCGUUCCGGGGAAAGUAUCCAUACUGGGCUACAA